CCUGCCCCUAGAGGCGUUGCAGAUGUGGCUGCUGUGUCACAUGUGUGUCAGUAGGUGGCAGAGAGGAAAGAGGCUAUGUCUACGCUCAGUGUUCUGGCCUGUGAACAUCUGAAUGAUUAGUAGCCUAACAUU